UACGUAGGUGGCAAGCGUUGUCCGGAUUUAUUGGGUUUAAAGGGUGCGUAGGCGGUUUUUUAAGUCAGUGCUGAAAUACUCCAGCUUAACUGGAGGGGUGGCAUUGAUACUGGAAGACUUGAGUACAGAUGAGGUAGGCGGAAUUGACGGUGUAGCGGUGAAAUGCAUAGAUAUCGUCAAGAACACCGAUAGCGAAGGCAGCUUACUGGGCUGUAACUGACGCUGAUGCACGAAAAGUGUGGGGGAGCAAACAGG
rnacentral:rRNA from 1 species